UUCGCCCAAUCCCCGCGUGCGCUCCGCUCCCAAUCCUGGUCGCAGGGUUGGCCACACCUCUCCUUCCUCCCUCGCUCGACAGCGCCGCACCCCCUCCCUCCUUGCUGCUCGUCCGGAUAGCCGCCGGUCGCCGCAUCCCUUCUCCCCCUUCCUCCUCCUUCCUCCUUCCCGCUGGCGCCAACAAGGGGGCCUCCUGCAUGGACGGCCAGGUCUUCGAACCGGGGGUAGAGGAGCAGGGGAGGGCCAAGAAGCCGGCGGUGGGGGUGGAGAAGCCAGGAGGGCCAAGAAGCCAGCGGUGGGUGUGGAGCAACUAGGAGGGCCAAGAAGCCGGCGGUGGGGGUAGAGGAGCAGAGGAGGGCCAAGAAAGCCGGCCGGGAGCACACCACCGUAGGCGUCAAGGGAGCCGUGGACAAGCCGUCAGGAGGAGAAAGCUCCCAGUUUGAGGAGGAGACUACGGCACAGGUUGUGUUUUGAAAUCUAGAUUGAUUUGGUACUGUAUGUGGUGUGGUGUGCCCUUGCCAGGAAUAUCUAAUGUGUGUCAUGACACAAUCAAUUGUAGAGCUGGGAAGCAUGAUGCUCGAUUAGUAGACUGCCGCUUGAGAAGAAGCUUGUCAUAUGUCUCUUCGAGCCGCGGCAGCUAGGGGCCUUCGAAGAACACGGGGUUUGACAUAGCCAUUGAGCAAGUGCAGGAUACAAACCAGAUGUAAACAAAGAGGAUAUGGAUUCAGUACGGCCACGAGUGAAGGAAUGCUGUUCCAAUUUGGAUCUUGGAGAAUGUUUUCUCACUGUGGUUCAGGUUAAACUGUUGUUCUACUGUUCCUACUCAGCCUCCUAAUGUUCUAUGUCUUGAUGCGCCUUCUUCCAGCUUCUCUAUUGGUUUUCUCUUCACACUUAUGUUUGAAUUGAUGGCUAGAAAUACAGAGUGCCAUUUUUUCUUAUGGAGUGAUAAUUAAGAAGACAUACAUAGCUGCAAAGGGAUUGCUCAAAUGAAACAAGUUGCUAAUUUUGUAUCUUUGACACUCAUGGAAAAGGAAAAUUCCUAGGGAUUUGAUUGAUGGAGGCAUCGCUAUUUGUCGCUGGAUUAUCCAUUUUUGCAGCACCAGCAAAGUUGUUUUUGUUUGGAAUGGCCAGUUCUCAAUUUCUAAAUCAGCUAUACUAUACUUCUUGUCAGGUUACAUUAUCUUGCUUCGUUUCAGUCUAUAUGUAGCACAAAAAUACUAGGUGACAUGGUUGGUUUGUAUGUUACACUAAUGAACACCACCAUAAGGAAAAGGGCAUUGCACUUCUUUGUUAAUAUUUGGUCUGUUCCUAUUCGGUGACAUACUAUUCUGGUUGGUUAGCUUCACGCUCUAAAGCUAGGAUUUUAAUUCUUUGAGUGUAAGUAAUGUAUUGUUAUACCAGAUGAAAUAUAUGCAGACACUGCUAACAUGAUUUUUCUUAUAGGCGGAAGUAUAUUUUUUAAAUCCAUCUGUUCAAUUCUUAGGACCAUACUUUACUAGAAGUCCAGAACUAUGUGAUUUGGUAAUUGUGUCAAAGCUCGCCUGGUUGUGCCGUAUUGCAUUGUGAAUGCUAUGUUGUUGGGGAAUCAGCGAGCUUGGUUAUAUUUCUGUGGCUGUCAUGUUAACUGGUGGCCGUAGUGCUUCUUGCUAGCUACGAGUUCUUCUUGUGUGUUUGCUUAGUGGCUUAGUUAUGUGUGUGUGUGUGUGUCCGGGCACCUGUUGUGUUUUUUGCUUGCUUGUUGGUGCGUGCAUGAUUGUUGUGACUGGGCGCUGGUUGUUCGGUGCUGGGCUGCUGAUGGCAUGCUACCUGCUUCGAAAAAAGGAAUGAAAGGAAGCAUUUGUUCAUAGAACAAAUAUAUUGUAAAUUUUUCCAUCGAAAGCCUGCAUAUUUAGCAAGGAAAAGGAGUCUAUAGAGCCUUAGGUUCUUGUUAUAUGUUGAUUUUGCAAAAUUUCUGCAGCUAUAUAUUUGCUCAAUCCAAAAGACAAAUUGUACUCAACCUUCAGUAUAAUGUAUUUCUAAUUGUUCAUAACUGCUUAAUUUUUUGUUGUGAUUUUGCAAGAUAUUGAAAUUAUUGUAUUUCGAAAUUGUUACACUGAUUCCUCGAUGCUCUGUUCAUGGCUUUUUUAUUAUUUUAUCCUUCUUUGCUUUUUUCCUUUCCUACAAGAAGAUGUCGAGUCAUGUAAUAUGUUCAAAGAAGAGAGAAUCUGCAUUUUAUGAAUCCUUUCUUCUUUCUUCAUUGUUACUUCAAGUUAGUGAAUCAUUUAAGUUGUAUUGAGCAGCUUCAUGUGAUGGUUUCUUCGUCUACACAUCUUAUUCAGUCACGAGGCCAGUAAGAUCUUUUGCCUUUUAGGAAAAAGGGAGAUGCCAUUUAGACCUUACUCUUCCAACUUGAUCUUUAACUUGCUACUACUGUUUCUAAGCAUUUUUUAUUUGCUUCAGAGGAUGAGCUCACCUUAUUCAGUGGAUGUGCCAAGUAAAAAAAAUUAGAAACUGAGCAAUUAGUUCCACUCUUAUAUUUUGUACAGCAGUCCAAAUUAUCCAAUAAAUCAUUUGUUAGCAGGGUCAAAUUAUAGAAGUUGAAUCAGUUGUUCCAAAUUACCCAGUGAGACUUAUUCCAUUUGUUUAUCCUUUUGUCCUUUUAAUCAAGAACAAUGUUUAGAGCUUACAUGGUUGUCGAAAUUUAGUUAUGUAAAAGAGGAAUAUUGAUAUCAUGCAAUGAUCAGUGCAGAUUAGGAUAGUUAUAGAGUUCUUCCUCAGUUUUCAUUGAGCAAAGAUUGAAUCUGUAUGAUUUGUUCUAAUACCAAGUAAAUCUUGGUCUGCAUUGUGUUAGUUUUCCCACUGAGUUUUUUUGGCUAUUUUCGUUUAAAUUGGUAGUUGAUGUGAAAAAGUGUGUUGACAUGCAUGUAACCAAAUCAUGUAUUAAUGUGAGGUACUACAUAUACUUGCCUAUCUCUUUCCAGAAGAACAGCCCUCUUGAUCCAACUAGGAACAUCAAAACCAAAUGGGAUAUCAUUGAGUGGACUUCAGAUGGCCAUGCUGCCCUCUAGCUAUAGUCAUGGAAAAGAUGGUGUUCGGAGCUAUAUCUUGGAAAAUAUUUCUUGUCAUUCCAUUAAAUUUCGGAGAUAUGGAGGAGCUGGACAUGGAUGGCGAGAAGGCGGCCAGACCAGAGUUCGCCUACCCCUACUGCUAUGAGGACCAUGAGGUUGCCUCCUUGUGCGCGCAUGUAGAAGAGGAGCACCCAUUGGAGUGGAGAUAUAGUUUGCACAAUGUUCUGGUCCAGCAAAGUAUUUUAGAUGUGCAAAAGAGUAGUGUCUUGGGGUAGAAAAUUAAUAUUGAUCUUGAAACCUUGAGAUAGAAAAAAGAGCUUUUCACAUUUGUUGCUGUUGAGUCCUGACUAGCAAUUAUAUAACCCUCAGGCCUCAGUAGCAAUUAUGUUACCUUCUUAUUUGUUCUCAGGUUACUUGCCUUCUUCUUUCAACCCAUCUCUCUAAGAAUUAUAGUGCAGGUUUUGUAGGGCAGGUUAAAGAACCCAAUACAAUGCUCUUUGAGUCGAGUUUUUUUAUAUUCGCUGGCA